rnacentral:rRNA from 1 species
AAUGAACGUUGGCGGUGCGCCUUAUGCAUGCAAGUCAAACGGGGUUAUGAUCUUCGGAUUGUAACCCAGUGGCGAACGGCUGAGUAACACGUAAGUAACCUGCCUGGGAGUGGGAAAUAACCUGCCGAAAGGCAAGCUAAUGUCCCAUGUGGUAACGAAGCACACGCUUGGUUACUAAAGCCUUCGGGCGCUCCGAGAGGGGCUUGCGUCCGAUUAGCUAGUUGGUAGGGUAACGGCCUACCAAGGCAAUGAUCGGUAGCUGGUCUGAGAGGACGGCCAGCCAGAUGGGGACUGAGACACGGCCCCAACUCCUACGGGAGGCAGCAGCAAGGAAUUUUGGGCAAUGAGCGAAAGCUUGACCCAGCGACACCGCGUGAGGGACGAAGGCCUUCGGGUUGUAAACCUCUUUUCUUGGGGAAGAAUUUGACGGUACCCA